AGUGAACGCUGGCGGUAGGCCUAACACAUGCAAGUCGAACGGCAGCACAGGAGAGCUUGCUCUCUGGGUGGCGAGUGGCGGACGGGUGAGGAAUACAUCGGAAUCUACCUUUUCGUGGGGGAUAACGUAGGGAAACUUACGCUAAUACCGCAUACGACCUACGGGUGAAAGUGGGGGACCGCAAGGCCUCACGCGAUUAGAUGAGCCGAUGUCCGAUUAGCUAGUUGGCGGGGUAAUGGCCCACCAAGGCGACGAUCGGUAGCUGGUCUGAGAGGAUGAUCAGCCACACUGGAACUGAGACACGGUCCAGACUCCUACGGGAGGCAGCAGUGGGGAAUAUUGGACAAUGGGCGCAAGCCUGAUCCAGCCAUACCGCGUGGGUGAAGAAGGCCUUCGGGUUGUAAAGCCCUUUUGUUGGGAAAGAACUCCUGUCGAUUAAUACUCGGUGGGGAUGACGGUACCCAAAGAAUAAGCACCGGCUAACUUCGUG
rnacentral:rRNA from 1 species